rnacentral:rRNA from 1 species
UACGUAGGGUGCAAGCGUUAAUCGGAAUUACUGGGCGUAAAGCGUGCGCAGGCGGUGAUGUAAGACAGAUGUGAAAUCCCCGGGCUCAACCUGGGAACUGCAUUUGUGACUGCAUCGCUGGAGUGCGGCAGAGGGGGAUGGAAUUCCGCGUGUAGCAGUGAAAUGCGUAGAGAUCGGGAGGAACAUCUGUGGCGAAGGCGGCAUCCUGGACCGGUAUUGACGCUGAGGCGCGAAAGCGUGGGGAGCAAACAGG